CAGCACACAUUAUACCACAUUUGAUACUUCCAAAAUAAGUUUAAGUCAUAGCCACAUACACACUAACUUUAACAUUAUAAUCAAGCCAUUUUCGUAUGGCUAUAUAUAUAUAAAUAUACAAACUUCAAAACCAAAUAUAUCAAAACAAGCCUAUACAUGCCAUAUAACCAAAUCUCAAAGCAUUAUUUACCAAAAUGGUAACCGGAUAGUGUGAUGACGUCUCCAACAACUUCUAACUCGAGCAAUUCACUGAAACUCUAAAGACAUAGGAAAAACAGACAGAGUAAGCUUCAAGAGCUUAGUAAGUCAUAAGCAAAUAAAUAACUCAAUAUUAAUAUCAACUUAGUUUAAUCAAACUAAUUUAUACUAUCAUGAUCACAUUUAUUUUCAAGCUCACAAUUUCAUAUAUAACAUAUACUUCCAUGUACAAAUUUUACCUUGAUCGAAUAUACAUGUAUCUAUUAUCAAAAUAGCAUACCCUUUCAAAGCCAUAUUAUCAAUGUAUAUAUAACCAAAUAUUUAAACUCUUAUAUACAUAUCUUCAUAAAGCAAACCAUAAUAACACAUAUAUAUACAUAAUAUGUGGUCGAAUAUAUAUUUUACAAUUGCCAAAUAUGAAAACAUAUACAUUUCAUUUACAAAAUCACCUAUACUUUUCAUUUGGCCAAUUAUAGAUUUUCCUAUACAUAUAUACUCUCAUUUAUGUCAUGAAUACAUAAGUAAACCGAAUGUAUACUUUCACAUAUGCAUACAUAUAAUUCACAUUAACAUGUAACAUUUAUAUAAUUAAUUCAAACAUUCCACUUGCCAUAAUUUCAUAAUUUAGUAUGAUUACAUACUUGAGCCUUUUAAAUCGAUUUUUCAUGCGUCAGAAAAUAGAAUUACAUAACAUUUUUAUCACAUAUCUUUCAGCCAAUUUACCUUCAUUUCAAAUAAGUAAACCACAUUCACAUACCUGAUCACUUUAGCUCAUUUAACACAUUUGAUUACUUUUACCGUUGUUCACAUAAAAUUUGCUAGGCAUAAAGCCUAGUAUAAUACACCGGCACAGAGCCUGCUAGGCAAUAACCCUGAUAUAAUACACCGGCAUAUAAAGCUUGCUAGGUAAUAGCCUGAUAUAAAGUCUGCUAGGCGAUAAGCCUGAUUUAAUACACCGGCACAAAGCUUGCUAGGCAAUACACCCCGAAUAUCACUGAUACAAAGUCGGUCUUACACAUAAUUUAUAUUUCGGAAAUCCUAAUUAUUUCUUAAUGUUCGUAUUAAGCUUUUCAAACAUCAUAUCUCAAUUGAAUCGAACUUGUUCCCAAAUCUCAUAAACAUUUAUACAUUCGGCUAUAACUAAUAAAAAUUCACACAAUUAAAUUCAGCAUAUAAAGAUCAUAUACAUUCAAGUUUUAAAACGUUUAUUGCUUAUAGACUUACCUCGGACAGCAGUAAUUGAAACGAGACGACUAAUUGACCACUUUGAUUUUCC
rnacentral:lncRNA from 1 species